GAAAAAAACAAGCCCUUUUGCUUUUCUCAUACAUUUAUUAUUAAAAUAUGAGUAGUUUUUGGGGUUUAAUUUAUUUUUUAUUUUUUCUGGGUUGAAUAUAACUUCAUUUCCUAAUUUUCCUUAUGGAAGUCCCUUUGACUGUCCUCCUUUUAACAAUCUAUAAGGCAUGGGUAAUCAUGGUUAUUGAUGACUCUCUCUCUCUCUCGUACUUCAUCUUCGUUAAUGAAAGUUCUAAAAGUCCGAAAAUCUGGUUUGUUCAAAUCCAAAAGCUUCUUCCUUUUCAUCUGGGAAACGCAAUAAGACAGACACAAAAGCAGUACGUUGAUAUUUUGAAGAUCUGGGUCGAAAACGAUUUGAUAUCUUCAUUUCAUCAGAACUGAGACAUAUCUAAUUCAGUUUUCUCAGCCUUUCCUUCUCCAGAGCGCUUCCUUUUGGGAAAAAAGAAAGAAAGAAAAAAUUGGAACAAAAAAAAAGCUUUCCAAAGUUCUCCUUUGCUUGCGACAGACACCCACUUCGUCAUUCCUGCGUGAGAUAGAUCUCAAAUGAGCUUUAAUCAGAACCGUCUGAUAAGAGAUUCCUGAUUACUCCUCCUCUUGGAUUAAGUGCUGCCCAACUUUCUCUUCAGGCUUUCUCUGGUGGGGAGUUGUAGCAACAGAAGCGGUGAAGCAUGGGGAGGGCUGUGGCUGUCACCACAUGGGAGAAUGAAUCGUGGUUUAUUGUUGUCAUGAGAAUGAUUGUGAAGCAAAUAGGACUUGCUCUUCUGCUCUUCCUCCUCCUCUUCUUCUGCUUUUUACCCUUUUGAUGAUGGCGGUGGUGGUGGUGGUGGUGGUGAUAUUGGCGGGACGGCUCAAUCUCUUAAUUUUAUGAUACAGUUUUUUUUUUUCUUCACUUACUCUUUUUCAUGAUGAUGAUCUUGUUCACAACGAAAGUUUAUGCAAAAGUUGUUUCUAAUGACACUAACUUGCUCCUUCGGUUUUGCAUUUGUGCCUUUCUGCAUCUUGAAGAAAGAAAACUACAUUUAAUGCCUUGAGGAACGGAACACCAAAGAAAGAAAUGAAGCAAAGCAGAUAGAUUUUUUAUGCAGUAAAACAGUUGGUUGGUUGGUGAAUGGUGAGUAAAUCUCCAAAGCCUUGGAAGUUCAAACACUGUUUCAUCAUCUCAACAUUUCCAGAUUCUCUGUCAGUCUUUGCUUCUGUCUCUUUAUAAUAUAGUUUUGUUUUCUCUUGGGAGAGAUGUGGGGUUUGAUAGCUUAGCUUGGCUUGCAUUCAAAUCCAGUAAAUCCUCUAUGAAAUUUCAUUUCGUUUAUGUAUACUCAUUUGAAGAAAUAUUAUACAAGAAUUUAUCCUUUUUUCAUUCAUAA